rnacentral:rRNA from 1 species
AGAUCCUUAGCAAAGCUUGCUUUGCUAAGUCUAGUGGCGAACGGGUGAGUAACACGUGAGCAACCUGCCCAGAAGCAGGGGAUAAGCCACCGAAAGGUGGUCUGAUACCGUAUGUGAUUUCAAGAGGCAUCUCUUGAUGAUUAAAGGGGGGGACCUUCGGGCCUCCCACUUCUGGAUGGGCUCGCGGCCUAUCAGCUAGUUGGUGAGGUAAUGGCUCACCAAGGCAACGACGGGUAACUGGUCUGAGAGGAUGAUCAGUCACACUGGAACUGAGACACGGUCCAGACACCUACGGGUGGCAGCAGUCGAGAAUCAUUCACAAUGGGCGAAAGCCUGAUGGUGCGACGCCGCGUGGAGGAUGACAGCCCUAGGGUUGUAAACUCCUGUCAUGAGAGAGUAAAGACUUAACGUUAAUAGCGUUGGGUCCAGAUAGUAUCUCAAGAGGAAGGGACGGCUAACUUCGUGCCAGCAGCCGCGGUAAUACGAAGGUCCCAAGCGUUGUUCGGAAUUACUGGGCGUAAAGCGUGCGUAGGCGGAAUGGUAAGUCAGAUGUGAAAUCCCGGGGCUCAACCUCGGAACUGCAUCCGAUACUGCCAAUCUAGAGUAGUGGAGGGGAGUCUGGAAUUCACGGUGUAGCAGUGAAAUGCGUAGAUAUCGUGAGGAACACUAGUGGCGAAGGCGAGACUCUGGACACUAACUGACGCUGAGGCACGAAGGCCAGGGUAGCGAAAGGGAUUAGAUACCCCUGUAGUCCUAGCAGUAAACGGUGUGCGUUUGGUGUGGGCGGGUUCGACCCCGUCCGUGC